AACACUUACAAUCAGAUGGUUAGGGACUGUGAGUAACAGCAGAUCGUAGAAGUGUCGACAAGACGCAAAGCCAAGAGGCAGCAGAUGUCAGCUAGGCGGCCAACAGCAGCUGGAAUAUGCGAUGGUCGCUGGUCGCUGGUGUACCGUACUGUGUGUGACGUGUUGAUUGAGCGCUCAAUGGUUGGUGUAAGCGACGGCUGCUCAUAGUUUUUCGUCGUUCGUUGGCCUUUGGCCGUUUCUAGGUGGUGUGCUGAUGAAUUCUGCCGUUCAGUUGUUGGAUGGUCGGUUGCCAGCUUGACGUGCUGUGCUGUGGUGCUGUGUCGUGUUUGUGCAUUUGAAGUGAACAAGGUACUGAAACGACUGCGCAUUACUAUCAAUAAUUAGCGCAAAAUGAGUGGAAUUACAACAGAAUCAAUAAAAAAGUAACCGAUAAUGGAAGCUAAUAUUCUGAAAAUAUUUGACAUUACUUACUGUUAAUUUUCAAGUAUGCGAAUAUAUGUAGAUAAAUAAAUUAAUAUAUAGACAUUUGUUCGAAGUUCGAAAAUUGUGCUAUUUUCCGAUACACAAAUAAAAUAAUGGUACGACGAAAAAGGCGAAAAAGUGCUUGUAAUGAGAAAUAACAUCUAAAAUGUAAAAGUGCGAAAUAAAACUGGAAAUAAACGCAUAUAAUUAAUAACUAAAAAUGUUUGCGAACUACGCAGUUGACCAACUAGCUACGACGCGGCCAUGGAGCUUGGCGAGUGCUCAGUUAGUGUCGUUGGGGAGGAAUUCGCUGAUCAUGCCGCUCAUGGCAAUGGUGUUGACAGUAAUAGAGUGCAGCUCAUAGCAAAAAAAAAAGCCUGACUUCAGCUCAAAUGCCUUCCUGUGGAGCUUUUGGUGUUUUAUGCUACUGGCGUAAGAAGUGUCAGCGCCGCAGUUGUCGUAUCUUUGUAUCGUCGUUUCGUUAUGUGGGCACACGAAAACUAUUCGUUCCACCGAAUUGUUGUUCGCUGUACGAAUGCGCUACCGAAAACCGAGGCGGAUUCGGAAUUUAACGACAACGAGUAAUGUCGCCGAAACUUAAGUUCUUCUUUAAUUGUUAUUAUUAUUAUUAUUGUUAGUGUUGUUGUAUUUGUAGUUGUCGAGAAGGCCAACCUCGUCGGUAUGGUUGACGACUUUAUAGCGCCACUUGCGCCACUUGAACAACUAAUUUAGGGCGAAAGCAAUAACAACAAGCAGAGUAGCAAUAAGAAGAACAACAAUGACGACAAUAAUAUUCGUAACAACAAUAAAUGAGGCUAAGACAAUAAAGUGAAAAUGUGAACUUUGAAACAAAUGAUUUUUCUAACCAAUUUAAGAGGCCCGACACAUGCACACACGCAUACAUAUAUGUAUGUAUGUAUUAAAAAGACGAAACGGAGCAAUGGAUUAUAUUUGGAUGAAUUUAGCCACGAGAAUAUGUACAUAUAUUUACAUACAUGCAUUGUUGGUAUAACACCGAAAGCAAUGACAAUCUUAAACUGGAGCAAUGACAAUCGUUUUUAAGUGAGACGGUGCCACGCAACUAACUGCAAUACAAACAUCAGUGAUCAGGUCUAGAAGUGGACAACUGAAAUGUGCCUUACUGAUUUAGAGGUUGUCUAACGUAUACUAGUAUCAUGGUGAUAUGACGUAUUUUAUAUAUACUUACAUACUUGUAAAUAUCUGCUGGGAAUGCGUUAGUAAAAAAACAUGCAAAGAUUUCCUGCUGGGGCUGUGACGACAAUGCGUACAAAUUUAAAUAAUUUGUAAACAUGAUAAUAGAGAGUAUAAAGAAGCUCAAAUGCGAUAGCAAGCUCAAAUGCCAAACAACAACAACAAUAAUAAACAAUCAGAGGAAAUUAAGCAAUCAAAAGUAACACAAAUGUAGUCGCACAAAUAAAAUAGAAAAGGGGAGAGCGGAAGCAGAAACGCCAUCACCGCUUUGCAAAUGAAAUGGAAAUUGAAAAGCCCAGACAACGACAAUAACAACGACAGCAACCACUUCAGCGAAAACACUUCCGUCACAAUGAGUACUACGAACAAAUGAAACUAAAACAGACUUUGCACCAAUUUUCAAUGGCACGAGCGUCGAGAACAUUGAACUAUUUUCCACUUUUUACGGCGUGUAUAUAUUUUUAUGGGAAGUGUUGAGUUAUAUCGACGCCAACCGACUUCUACGCAAAUAUAUGCACCUAUUUAAAAAAGAAUAGAUAUAAACACACGGACAUGCACACAUGCUUGCCCAAAAUCGUGCUUGUAUGAAAACGUAAGCGAUUCUAAGUGAGCAGCGGAACAGUGAACAGCGAACGAAGUACUCUACAAUCAGAAAUCAACGAGCAGCAACAGUCAGUAACUUACUAGCAACGUCUCCUCUUCCCAAAAAAACAAAAUAAUAAUAUUAUUAAUAAUAAUGAAGAACGACUGAGACUGUCUUUGUUUGUAGCCGAAUGGAAUGGCAUGAAACGGAGCCUGAGACUGGCACGGGAGUGAGUGCACUCUUAUCUGUAAACCGCGAUCUACACCGACUCGACACCAAUCCACAUGAAAAUCGAACACUUACACAUACAAUCAGCGAUGACACCGUUUUACGAAUUCGCUUCGCCGCUUUUGCGUUUAUUGAAUGGGAUAAGUACAUCGCCAUAAACAGAUAUUCUAGCAAGCAAGCACCCCAAAACGAAAACAAAAACCAAAAAAAAACUGGAAAUUUUCAAAAUGAAAACAAACAUUGUGGAAGCAAAGCGCAGCUGAUAAGCUGGAGGUACUCACACGUUGUUCCGUCACCAUCUGCAGUCAGAACACUCCGGGUCAAUACUCGUGGUAGCACCCAAUGCGCCUCCGGACAGUUGAUUACUCCAUACCCCAUCAACGUCGGGGUUUUUCUGUCGUUUUUGUUGUUUUUUUCAAAUGGCUGGCAAAAUGGAAAUCCUAACAAAUUGCAGUUCUUACAAGCAAGACAACUUGACGAAUAUUAACCCUGAGAAUAUUAGAAGAGUUAAGGUCCGUUUAUGCGAGGCAAAUGUGGAUGCUGAGUUAAAAUUCUUAAGCUUCAUUUGAUGUGUGCUUGUUGCUUGUUGGUCUCACUUGUUGCCGUUUAGUGGCUUGUUGUUGUUACUUUCAUGCGGCGGCGCUAUCAUCGAUUGGUAAGCUUAACAUAUAUACAUAUGUAUUUACACACACACACACACACGUACAUGUGAAACGACACCUUCCGUCACCCCUUUGCGAGCGCACGCAGAUCUUUUCCGAGCAACUACAACAACAGCUAUAUGGCGAAAUGAAAAAGCGAACAUACACUCAUACUUACACAGGCGAACCAGAAGAAGAAGAAGAAAAACGAAAUAAAUAUCUUAGAGCGCAUACCCACACACACGCACACACACAGCCAGCAAGCAUAUCAUCACACACGAACGCUAUGCGCUUGUGUUGUGAUUGUUGUUUGAAUAAGACACAGUGAAAGAGGCAACAACAGCAAUCAAUAUGUGUUUGAGUACACAUACACCCAUACACAGCCACACACACACACAUGUAUGUAAGCGAUAGAAAUGAAGAAAUGAAAUGUUUUCAUUAGACACUUUUUUAUUUUUAUUGGAUUGACACGAUCCACAGUUGGAGCUGUGCUUCCGAACAUUGCGAGCGGUUUUCUUAGCUGUGACAGCUAACAGCCGACAGCCUGUUUCACAAAUAAAAAAAAAUAAAAAUAAAUAACAAAGAAGUAAAAAUAAAGCAGACACCGCCGAAGUAUUUACAUUUUUUCACUGAACUUUCUUUCUGCUGCUCAAUCUUUCAAAUUUCGCGAAUAUCAGUGCGCUUUUUUUUGUUUUUCGCCUUAUGUGAACAAAGUGUUGUGCUAAGUGCUUGAUUAGCAUAUGUACUCGUCUACAUAAUAAUUCGUACAAAUGUAGGAUUGUGGAUAGAAAUAAAAGUGUAUUUUUGAGCAAACUUAUGAUAUGAUUGAGGAUGUGUGACUUUCGUUGUGCAAAUACAUGUGCCAAACAUGUACAUACAUACAUAUGUAUGUGUGUGUGUGCAAGAGUUUAAGACAUAGCAUUGACGAUCGCAUAACCACUCGCCGUCUGGAAGCAGCCCCACGUGCCGACGUCGGCGACUGACCUACUUAAAUGUUUUACUGAUGCGCACUCGGCAGCGGCAGCGGCAGCGCCAGCUCACAUGCACGCACUCACACACGCACAGCGAUUUUUAUGAACUCGUUAGCGGCGGUAUGUAUGUAAGUGAACUUGUACACAUUAAAUAAUAUUAACUUUCAAACAUUGGAGCAUUUAUAUAACAACAAUUUGCGUUGUGGGAAAAUCGGUUUUUGUAGCUUUCCAAAAUGACUCAGCAGCAAUUAGGAUUGGAAUGUGUCAGUUCUUUCUCACUUAUUCGAUUUUUACUUCAAUAUCACGACUUCAUCUUCAUGUGCGACUAAAUGACAGAGUUCAGCAUAAUUGUAUGUAUAUUUUGAGUUGUUUGGGGCUUUGAGAAACGUGACAUAUCUACAACUUACAAGAGGAAACAGCAAUGGAAUAUGAAAUUAAAAAAAAAUGCUUUUGCUCCACAACUUAUGAACUUCACUUUACUUUACUUCCCUGCAGCCCUUGCCACCAACUUCGGUACAUUUUUGGUUCCGCCUUGGUUAUGGUUGUAAAAAUUAAUUACAAAUAUUUUUUUCUAUUAAAAUUUAAAUAUCUUACAAUCCGGUUGUAAACUGCAGCCUUACUUAGCCUUUGCACUAAGAAUUUCUAAGAAGCCAAUCUGUGAACUUCAGAUUUCUCAUAAGCUUAUAAAAUUUGUCAGUUACUGCACUCAACGACAUUCAAUCGUCCUUACAUUCUUGGCAUUCGAGACUGAAUGACUUGAUACCCUCUAGAAUAUUGUCAGCUAUAGUCCAACUGAGCACUUGUUGUAUGUCAAAAAAUAGGUUUGGGCUCAUUAGUAAGAGGUCUAUAAGGAAAAGUAAAAUUGACAUCUGAAAACAUUACAACAACACACAAUAUGCACCGCAACGGCAUUUUAGUUACUCCAUUACUGCAAAGUUCAUUUCAAGUAACACCAUUGCACCCGGUCUCGUGUGCAGCGAAACGAACGUGCUCACUUCGUUCAACUACUAAUAAUAUUCUUUGCACAGACACGUGCACAGACACAUUUGUUGCAUGCGCUGCAAUGAGCCAACAUUCGGCAUCAGCACGGCGUUCUUAUCGCUGUCCAGAGAUCGUUGUUGUUGUAGUUGUUUUUGCUGCAUAUUUUCUGUUGAUUGCAAUUGCAUAAAUGGGGCGCGUUCUGGAAUGUGGCAAAUCCAGUUUCUCACCUUCAAUGCGACCUGGCAAGCGGACAUGUGGUACUCGUAUAAGCCAGCAAAUGCUCUUUAGUCUCCGGCAGACUGCUCACUGACGUGUUGCAAGCAUGUUGCAUGCGCCUCUUCACUGGCGGCAUGUUGCUAGACUUUUUAUUACAAAAAUUGCAUUUAAUUUCAUGCUUUGUGAAUGUGUGUGUAUGUGGGCGUGCGCGAGUGUGUGUGUCUCAUGCACCGCUCUCCUGACCGCAGUCGUCAUUUAUGGCUUUCUUUUCGUCUGAGAAUGGAUUCUUGGAGCAAAUAUAGCAACUCUGUAUUGUUGUUUUUGCUGCGCUAAGUAGCUUCCGCCGUUGAAAUUCUCAUCUCUCACAUUGUUGGUAUGUUUGUUUACAAGCACGUUUCGAUGAUGUUUGCUUUAAUUCUUUUAUGUUGUUGCUAUUGUUAUUUGAUGCUUUUAUAUUGUUUCCGUGAAUCACUUAAUAUUGCCUGCAACACUCCUCUUUGACUGGCUACGUGUGUGUGUGUGUGUGUGUGAGUAGUUGCUGCUUCAUAAUUAUUAUUUUGUUUAAGUGGCUGGGCGCAGUUGGCGCUAGCGCCACGGAACUCCCACAUAUGAGAUUUGCGUUUACCGUUCGAACUCCUAUUGUGGAUCAUUAUUUGGUUUGUAUGGGCCUAAGCAUCACAUAAAUUUGUAGAUACUUGUUAUUCUUAUUUUAAAUACAUAAUUAUGGAACUGUGGUAAAACUUUUCUGAUGAAGAACUUGUUGCUUUUAGUAAACACCUGAUUUUAUAAACUUACUUUUUUUCAGCUGAUUGGCAACCCUGUAAAAACAGUUUCGAGAUGGCUCGAAUAGUUGAAAAUUUAGAAACUUAUAACAAAACUCGCGAAUUUGAAAUGGAAUAUUAUAAUUUGUUGAAGAAUAAAUCGACUCUAUUCGGGAGAAACUCAUACAAAGGCACGACAGAAACCGUGCAAAAGUGCGAUCUCGCUAAAGAAUCUUAUUGUAAAAUAAGAAAUGCGCGUGAACUACAUAAAAUUACGAAUCACAAACAAAAAAGGUGAAUCAACUAAAACAUAACAGAGUUAAUGAAAACAUAAAAUCACGCACAUCUUCGAAAGCGUGUGCUUAAAAUAAAAAGAAAAACAAAACAAAACGAAUAAUAAAAUGAAAACAAUAAAAUAAUUAAAUUAAGUCUAAUUUAUUAAAAUUAAAAAACCGAAAUCGGCAACAUAAAAUCGUUGUACAAAUUGAUUUACAUAUGCAUAUGUACGUAAGUAUGUAUGUGUGUGAGUAUGGGCAUUUGAUUGGAGGUGAAUACAUUUUCGAUUCGCUUCGAUGCGCUACAUCAAUCGGGCUUACUCGGAAGCUGUCUUUGCCUAUAAUUGCCAAUCGCCCGCGUUUGUACAACUUUAUAUACACAAACACACACAUGCAUACAUGCAUACAUCCACAUAAAUAAAGUGCGUAAAUACUGCGGAGAAUGUGAUUACACACAUACUAUAAAGUGAACAUACGCCUGCUGGUGUGUGGUUCGAUUGUUUGAUGUGAUCUGAACUGAUUUCAUAUGCGAUUUGAUUUGAACACAAAACCGGUUUUCGAUUUGAUUUGGCUGUUUCUUCAACAAGUGAGAUCAUUUUGAAAGCUGAUUUUGUCAAUGAAUUCAACAUUAAUAACCCCCAACUAUAUUAUAAUUAAUUAUAUGAUUGUGAACAUAAUAUACGAUUGUGCUACAUACAUAUGUAUUUGUUGUAUACGUAACGGUGCUACAAAGACCAUGCCUAGUUGCGCGCCUAACAAUUGUUGGUAUUUUUAAUGUCGGCGGCAGCAAACGCUAACCGUUGGCGUCAAUAGCUUUGAUAAAGCUCAUAGAGCUAAGACAAAGAGAAUGGACAACAACAAAAUUGGGAAUGUAAAACUUUGAACUUUAGCCGACAAAAUAUUAGGAAAUUUUCGGUUAAGUAUUUGUGUGUGAAUUUACAGUGGCGGUCAUCUAAAUUCGUACAAUUUUCUUUUCAAAGAGUUUAUAAGGGUUAAG